AGAUUGAACGCUGGCGGCAGGCUUAACACAUGCAAGUCGAACGGUAACAUAAAGAAGCUUGCUUCUUUGAUGACGAGUGGCGGACGGGUGAGUAAUGCUUGGGAAUCUGGCUUAUGGAGGGGGAUAACUACGGGAAACUGUAGCUAAUACCGCGUAAUAUCGAAAGAUUAAAGUGUGGGACCUUCGGGCCACAUGCCAUAGGAUGAGCCCAAGUGGGAUUAGGUAGUUGGUGAGGUAAAGGCUCACCAAGCCGACGAUCUCUAGCUGGUCUGAGAGGAUGACCAGCCACACUGGGACUGAGACACGGCCCAGACUCCUACGGGAGGCAGCAGUGGGGAAUAUUGCGCAAUGGGGGCAACCCUGACGCAGCCAUGCCGCGUGAAUGAAGAAGGGCUUCGGGUUGUAAAGUUCUUUCGGUAGUGAGGAAGGUGGUUAGUUUAAUAGGCUAGCCAAUUGACGUUAACUACAGAAGAAGCACCGGCUAACUCCGUGCCA
rnacentral:rRNA from 1 species